UAUUCUUGUGGAUAAGUAUUUGGUGGUUCCUCUUACUCAAAGAGGGAAUUGAAGGAUUUGGAACUUGAGUAUUUGUAUUCCUUCACUUUAUCACUAUACGAUAUUUUGGUAUUUGGAUCAGCUGCCAUUUGGCUAUCGUCCAUUCCAGGAGGGUUUGGUGGGGAUGGAUCCUCGCUUUCCAUUGGCGUGUGGGUCAAAACUCGCUAAAACAAAGGUGCAGUCGAGAGAGGCUUGUCUUUCUCACUCUGAGAAUGAAAAUACAUUUCAGAUGCAAUGUAAUGACAGGGUAAGGUAAAAAUUAAUUCUUAAAUUUGUGGUAACUGACGCCGAUGUUAAUUGCCAUGACCCUUCAUUUCUUUCAUUUACUUUCUACGUUUGUUCUAGUAUUGACUUUACAUGAGCUUCUAAAUAUAAUAAAUAAGAAAAAAUGAUGAAAAAAUAACAAGAAAGAGAGAAAAAAAAAGAAAAAUAGGAAUAGAAGCCAUUGAGAGUUGCCACAUCACCUCUUCUGCAUUCUCCUUUAUUAUUAUAUAUUGCUUAGAGAAUUUUUUGUGCACUUCGUAUGGUUAAGAAAGAGCUUGUUAUGCUUAAAAAUAAUUUUUUUUUAUAUUCAUCCAAAUAUAUAAAUAGCAAAAAAAAGAGUAAAUUGUAUUCACUUAAUGAUAUACAAUAUUUCCUUUAUUAUUUCUUUGAUAGCAAUGAGAAAAUGAAGCUAAAUGAGAUAUUUUUCAACUUAUCUAAUUUUGAAUUAAUAUGAAAAAAUAUUUAUGUGAAUAACUGUAUUUCUUCUACUUUUCUCUUCUUUAGCUUUCUAAAGUAAAAUGGUUCUUGUAAUAAUGUUUAUCCUUCCUCUUAUUUUUACCAUAGCGAAGUAUGGUAACAUUUUAUGCAAGUAUAUAGUAUGUUUAAUUGUUUUUUUUGGUAAACAAGAUUAACACUAGUAUAUAUUAAAACAGUACAGGGAGGUGCCCGAAGGCAUUAUUACAAACACAAUCGUUAGAAGUACUAGGUGCAGGAAGAACUGCAUUACAAAUCAGAGGAUGGUAGGGAAAUGGGGAAGCAAGAUGAAACCUAUUAUUACUAAACCUUUCACUAUCUAUAUCUAGUAGUUUACGUACGAAAAGAGGAGCUUCAAACCAAAAUGUGAUAUCACUUCCCGUGAUUGAUGUACCAAAAUUUGUCAAACUGUCUGUUACUAUGUUGAACUCCCUGUACAUGUGGUAGAUAAGAGGAUCAUGGAGCAGUUUUAGGAGGGACCUACAAUCAUCAAUUAAAUAUGAGUAAAUAAGAAGUGGAUCAAAUAGGAUCUCUAUUACCUGUACCGAGUCUACGAUAAUGCAAAGAGAAAGAUAUCUAUUUCAGGAGUACAUUCUACAAAACCAAAUAACCAUUCACCUGAGUGGGUUCUGAGAGCCCCACCGAUCCCCGCCAGAGCAGAUAUAGUGGGAUCGGAAGCAUCAAUAUGGAGAAAGAUAGUGUUAGGAUCGAUAGUAGGUAGUGUUCGAGUCAUAGAAUGUCUGUUGGGAUGGUGUGUUGAGAUGGUAAGCUGACGUGCGUGGCAAAAUUCACGACUAAGCAUAAGAACUGCAUGUAGUGAAGGUUGGAUUUUGGCAUUUUUGAAUGUGUUUUUAUUUCGAGUUAACCAGAGAUACCAGAGUAGGAAGGAGAAGAAGAUAGUCGAUGGUAUGGAUAACACAAGAGAAGGUAAAUGGUGCCUAUAAAGUAAAUAGUUGAGCCAAGUAGAUGGUGCAGAAGAGGUAGAACCUAGCAAUGAUAGAAUCUAAUGAAGAAGUUGAAGUUGGUGCCAAAGAGCUUUGGCAGCAGAACAGUGGCAAAAUAUAUGGUCAAUAAAUUCAGGUACAAAGUGGCAGGUUGUGCAAAUGGGGGAUUGGAGGAUUCCGAUGUGGUAAAGAUACACAGAUGUUGGUAAGGGUUGAUUAAUGAUUAGCCAAAGAAAAGUGUGGAGUUUAGGGGGGAGUUUAAGUUUCCAAAUCUAGGUAUAAUGGUCUGGGGUGGAGAGAGUUAGAGUAAGAGCAUGAUAACAUGAUCUAACGGUGAAUCUACCUGUAGGAGUGAGGCCCCAAAUGAUCUGGUCGUAGCCCUUAUUAGUGUUGGGGUCCUGGGAGAAGUAAUGAGUGUUAAUUAGGUAUCGAAUCUAAGAUGGUAGAUUAAAGGAGAGAGAUGUAUGGUUGUGAAGGCAAGAUUCGACUGUUCGCUGGUCGUCAGAGGUUCUAAAAGGCCCUGAAAUAAAAGAUCGUAGGUGUAUUUUUGGCCCAAUUCAAGGGUCAGUCCAGAAUCUAACAUUGGUUCCAGUUCGGAUAUGCUAAACAAAAUCCAGUUGGCAGAUAUUCCAUCCUUUAAGGAGAUCUUUCCAACUUAUAGACGGGAUAGUUCAUCUUUGGGAACCAGAUGAGGCAUAGUAGAGAGAAAUCAGGAAAGAUGACUAGAGAGAUUGUAGGUUCUGGAAUAGUCUCCUAGAAGUAGCAGCGAGAAGAGAAUCAUUUUUAGGUCAUAGGCGCUGGAUUCCCAAACCUCCCUUGGCUUUGACUUGGGUAACUUGGUCCCAUGUUAGAAGGUGAAGCCUCUUUCUUUGUUGGUUAGAGUCCUCUAAGAAGUGAUGUUCACAGUGUUCUAGCGUGUUAAGUAUGCUAGUAGGAAUGUUAUGGAAUUGCAUCACAUGGUUCGUUAUUGUAUUCAAGGUGGUACUGAUAAGAGUGAGAUGCCCUGCCAGGGUCAGGUGUUUAGCUUUGCAACCCGCUAGGCGCAGCCAAACGGAGUCCACAAAGAACUAAAAAUGGUAAACUUUAAGAUGACCAUGUGUAAUAGGAAAGUUGAGAUAUUUUCCAAAGCUGCUGCCUUCACGGAUGUUGAAGGAACUUAAUACAAGUAAGGGUGGGCAUGGUACGAUACGGUACGAUAUUUUAAACUUCGAUAUGGUAACUUCAGUUUUUGAUAUCUAAAAGAAAAAUACCAUUAGCAUACCAAAUUAGUUUGGUAUAGUUCAAUAUUUUUAAAUUCAAUUUCGGUAUUUUACGGUAUGGUAAUUCAGUAACCAUACUUUAUUUGAUUUCUACUUACAUAUAUUCAUAAAAAAAACUAUAACUUUAAAUUUUAAAAACGUCUCAAUCAUAUUAGACUAACAACUAUCUUUGUUAAUCAAUUACACAAAAAGAACAUUUCAAUCACGAUUGAAUAGUGGGAGAUGCAAACUCUGAAUAACAUUACCUAAACUUAAGCAUAGUACUCCUAAAUAAUAAGCUUCCCAAAAUAUUUAUUUCUUAAUAAAUGUUACUUUUGUGUUCAAUUGGAUAAUGGAUGAUAUAUAACUAUAUUUAAUAAUCUUAAAUAUAAUAUAUAUGUAGGUUUUGUAUGUUAUUUAAAAACUUUGGUGCGGUAUACGGUAUUUUGGUAUUUAUUGCAUAAAUACCAAAACCAUACCAAAUACCAAAAUAAUUUAAAAUUUCUACCAAAUACCAUACCAAAUACCAUAACAUCCAUACCGCAGUAUAAAAAAUUUUGGUUUCGGUCUGGUAUUCGGUAUAUACCAUACCAUGCCCACCCCUAAAUACAAGGGCUUUAUUAGUCGGUGAGGCUAAUGCAGAGAAAAAAAUUCAGGAUUUAAGAUAAUUUAUGGAUUGGCCUAAAAUUGAUGAGAAAAGAUCAAGGCGAUCACGGAUAGUUUGACAGCUGGAAGGGGUGAUGUUGCUAGUAAGGAUAAUAUCAUUAGUGAAGAAAAGAUGAGAUAGGGGGAGAGAGUGAGGUGUGAGUUUGAUUGGAUUCUAGAGCUCUCAACUUACAUCAAGAUGUAUACUAUGGGAGAGCAUUUACAUACAGAGGAUAAAAAGAUAAGGCGACGAAGGGUCACCUUGUCUAAUACCUCUCGAAGGUGUGAAGAAUUCCAAUUUGGAGCCAUUGAGGAGAAUAGCAAUUUGGGUCAUAGUGACACAGGACAUAAUAAGUCGAAUGAGUCUAUCUGGGAAGUGAAAGAAGCAUAAGGUUUGAUGAAUAAAACCCCAUUCAAGUUUGUCAAAAUAUUUUUCCAAAUCUAUUUUAAGAAGCAUGCUAGAGCAUCUGCAUCGAGAUUUAUGAAAGUGAUGGAGAAUUUCUUACACGAUUAUGGCAUUAUUGGAUGCUCGUCGAUUAGGUUGAAAAGCUGAUUGAUAUUGGUUGAUGAGUGGAGUAAGGAGAGGUUUGAUGCAAUUAACUAUACACUUAUUCACUAGUUUAUAAAUCGUAUUACACAAAUCGAUAGGUCAGAAAUGGGAUGGAGUGGAAGGACUUUGACUUUUGGGGAUAAGACAUAGAUAAGUGUUAUUAAUUUCUUGAGGGAUGACCCUAUUAUCAAACCAAGAGCUGCAAAAAUUACUGAUAGAGCUCUUGGUGAUAUACCCAAAGCAUUGGAAGAAUAGGAGUGGAGGCCGUCUAAGCCUGGUGCUUUGGUUGGAUAAAAGAAAUGGAGAGCUGUAUAUAUCUCGUGGUCGGUUAGAGGGCCUUCCAGUCGAAGACUAUCCAUUUCAGAGAUAAAGUUACAAGUUGUUAUGGGGGAGGAGUUAGAGGUGUCGACUUGGCUAGUUGUAUAAAGAUUGGUGAAGUAGGAUGAACUAAUGGAUUCGAUAUGGUGAGGGUCAGUUGUCUACUUACCACUAUCGGUCUGAAGACUAGUGAUGCGGUUACGAUGAUGUCGUUUGAUAGUGAAAAGGUGAAAGAAACGAGUAUUUGCAUCUCCUUCCCAUAAACAUUGGAUCCUAGGUUUUAAAUUCUAGAAUUCUUCUUCGAGGCAAAGCACAUGAUUAUACUCAGAUAUAAGGUCAAUUUCAAGAGUUUAUAGAAAAUAGCUGGUGGGAUAGUGCAUAGAAGAUUGAAGUCCCGCUAGACGAGCUAAGAGAAGUUUCUUUUGACGGUAAAUAUUCCCAAAAGUAACCUUACUCCAAGCAACUAAGGGAUUUGUUAAGUCUAAUAUAGAACAUUUGAUUGGUAUAUUAUUGUUCCAGGAUUGCUGUAUUAAUGCUGCAAAGUCAGGGUGGGUCAACUAUAUUGCAUCGAAAUAAAAACAAUGUUACAGAAUGAACAUGCCUUGUUUUCAAAAGAGAGAAGAAGAGGGCAAUAAUCGGAGAAGGUAUGUAGGAGAUGAUGCACUAUGGCUUCAGGAAAAAGUGUAAGCCAAUCAGAAUUUGCCAUGAGCCAGUCAAGUCAUUCUAGGAUCAACGAGCAUCUGUUAUGUUUGUUGGUCCAAGUAAAAUGACUACCAUGGAACCUAAGGUCCAUGAGGUUGCACGUGUUGAAGCAGUCAAGCAUGUGGGAAGAACAAGUGUUAUUAAUAGGUCGACUGCCAAACUUUUAAGAAGAAUGGGUGAUGUCAUUAAAAUCUCCCCCGACCAACCAAGGGCCCACCCAGGCGUAAGAAAUUUUAAUAAGAUUAUCCUAGAGAAUCUGACGUGAAAAAGUAGAGUUUCUUGGAUAGAUGGUCGGAAACAUAAAACAAGAAGUAGAAGGAGAUACCUGAACGACACAGUGGACCUCCUAAUUAGUGAUAGUGAUUUCAAUAACAGUGAUCGAAGAGUCAUUCCAAAGGAGUACUAUACCGCCAGAAAGACUCUCAGCGGGGGCCUCAAUGAAGGAAUUAAAACUAAAGUCCAAACAAAGGUUGCUAUGGUCAGUAAUAUGAGUUUCGAUAAGAAUUACUAUGGUAGUCUUGUAGUAGUCAUGCAUGUUACAAAAGUUGUGGCGAAAAUCCAAAAAUUGAGCCCCGCAACAAUUCUAAAUGACAAAGUUCAUAGACGUACUGGAGUUAGAAGGGGAGUCAGAUAUGUCCAGGCCCCUCAACUUUGGUGCCCGAGAUAGCGUUGGAGUGACUAAGACUACAAACUUUCUCGCUUGUGGGUUGGAAGUGGGGUACGGGUUGAUGUAGCAUUCUUUCAGUUUGGGUGGUGCAGUGAGAAAAAGUUUUUGUUUGAAUUCCUCUUUAAGCAUGGAGACGUGGCACUCGCCCAGCCAGAUUAGGAUUGUCCUCAUCUCUCUCAUUUGUGCUAUGACCGCGGAUAUUUCUUAUGGAGUGAGAAGUUAUUGGUAUUGUAGUGAGAGAGAUACUGAAGAAAAAGGUUGAGGUUCUAAACUCAGAGAAGUUAGUGGUUAUAGAGGUGAGUUCAGAGAUGGAGAAAGAUUCAGUAGGGGAGUCGAUAGAGGAUAGUGAAGGUUCCAUUCCAAUUUUAUCCAUACAAUCAGGGAUAGAUAUAACGAAUAAAAUAGGAGGUCUGUAAUUAAGUUGGACAUCAUAGAUAGCAGCGGUGCAUAUGGGUCUAUCCAGUGGGGGGGGGGGGGGGGGGCUUGGGGGGCCUGCCGGGGGGGGGGGGGGGGGGUAAGUGAUGGGAAUCGGGAAUGGGCCUAUCUGGACAUGAGCUGGUGCCAGUGCCAUUUGGUACUGAGCGUAAAGGCUCAUAGCAGUAUAAAAUCCUUCCGUCACAAUUUAAGGAAUGUUCAAUGGAUUUUGGAUAUAGACCACUACUUCCUCAUUGUUUAUGGUUAUUGUGUAUAUCGGGGAGUGGUCCUAGAGACUCAUCUCCAACCAUGACUGAGGAGUCGUGUUGUUCGUAAGAGAUUAGGUUAUGAAUACGGGUCUCUCGUCGACAGUCUAUAGAGGAGAUGGAGUGGUGCUUAUUGACAUGAGGUAACUAAAGAAGAUAUGGCGUGUCAGAGGCAUCGUUGGAUUUGGCAUGGUGUAUGUGGGAAGAUUCGGUAGUAUAUAUUGUUCUUGCAUGGGUGUAAGUAAAAGUAGUAUUCUGGUUAUAAGAACUAGAAUUUUAUGGAUAAGGGAAAGNNNNNNNNNNNNNNNNNNNGAUGUAGAACACGUGUGAUCUAAGUCGGUAUUGGCUGAAGGCAGAGGCUCAAUAGUGAGAGAGUCUUCACGUGUACUAGGUAAUUUCUUGUGGACAAAAGACUGUUGAAAGUUGGGGUCAACAUGUAGGAUAUCACUAUUGCUAGUAGGUUUAAUUUGUGGAGUACAUGCAGUAGAAUUUGAAAUUUGAGAGUUUGACUAGGUGGUAUUAAAAUGAUGAGUGUCUGCUGUUAAAAUUUUGUCGGAUGUAGAAGGUUGAAGAGAAUUUUUGUUAAUUGUAAAUGGGUUGGUUGAUGCAGAAAUAUAUUGGGCUGCCUUAGGAGGAGAAUGAAUUUGGUGGGCUGGGAAUGGGUCAAGGCCCAAAGUGGAGCAUCAAGGUCCAUAAAGUGGACUGGAGGCUUUAUUACGUUUAUUGCGGACAAAGGCAAAGAUUGUUGGCGCUUAGGAAUGGGGGUGGUCAAAGGGUAGUUUCGAACUGAAUGGGAGUGAGGUUGGGGGAGCAUACCUGACUUAUCGAUCUUACUUGGUAGCCCAGCUGGUGCAUGUAGACUCACACGCUGAUGGUUCGCAGCUGGCUAAGUUCCUCUAUCAGUGGUUGGCUAUUGGUGUCAAUUUGUUGCAGGUCGCCGACGAUGAAAAUUGACUGUGUGCCACUUAUCUUAGUCUGUCGAUAGUGGUGUAUGGGGCUGGGGUACUGGAUGCAUGGUCGAUCCGCGUUAGGACACUCUUGUGUCAAUUUUAGUAAUUUAUUUUCGGCAAGAGUAGCAGCAAAGUCUGUGUAGUUAUGUAGGGGAAUACUUGCCUUUUGUGACCAAUAUGGCCACAGGAGAGGCAUAGCAGUGGGACCCCUUUGUAAAGGAUCAGUUGGCGAUGGCUUCCGAUGUAAACAUGUGAUAAGAGGAGCUUUUCUAACGGUACUUCGACGCAAAUUCGAGCAUAGCGGCCCCUUAUUUGGGUAGAAGUGCAGAUAUCCACGCUAAGAAGUUUACCGACCUUUCGUCUCACAUGUUAAAGAAUUUUAGAGUCGUAAAAUUCUGAUGGUAGUUCUGGUAAUCGUAGCCAGACGGCUGUGUACAUGAGUGUUGCUGUGGACGUACAAAAUUUAGGCUCCCAUCUUCGAACGGAGAUGAAGUGGUUGAAUACGAACCAAGGUCCCCCAUGAAGUGCGAGGUUCAUAGUUGUUGUAUUGGUGAAUUUAAUUAGGGAGAAAUUGUCACCUAAGUCAAUAAGAAAAAGAGGCUCGGGAGGUUUCCAAAGUUGUUGGAGUUUGCGUGUGAGUGUUUGAUGAUUGAUAUUGUAUUCGAGGACUUUGAUAAUGACGGAUUGCGUCCAAUGCCGGUAGAUGCAUUCUUUAUCAUAAGCAAACAGAGGAAUGAAAUUGUCGGAGGAUUGGGUAGUCGAAGUUGUUUCAUCAGACAUGUCAUAUUGUUGGUCAAAACAUUGAGAUAUGGAAGAGGAUGAAUUACAUAGUAGGGUAUGUGCGUAAAAAAGUUUGUGGGUUGUAGGGGACGAGGGGGUCGUCGGAGGGUUGCUGGUGGAAGUUUCAGUGGUGGUCAUUGCAGCUCAUAUGUUUUAUUGUUACAUAGCUUAUUAUCAAAAAAUACUCAUUAUUUCAUUUUACAAUCCUAAAUUAGAAAUGCAAAUUCUUAAAGAGAAUAGAUAAUGAAAUAAAUAAUCAUUUCUAUUUAUCAAAUAUUAAUCACCUUUCGAAAAAAUUUAUACUUCAAUAAAACAAUCCCCAAGAAAGUAUCAUAUCACUUUGCCAUAAAAUGAGAUUUGAAGAAAAAAGAACAACAUAGUCAGUAACACAUCACAACAUUUACAACAUCUGCAGAUGUAACUGAAAGGAGGAAAAAGUAGCAAUACAAAAAAAAUUAUAAUUAUAAGUAAAAAGGGAUAAAAUUAAUAAGUUAGACAAGACGUUAGUGAAAAGAAAAAAGACAUAAAAUGUACCCUGAAGUUGUUCUGAAAAAUUGAAUUCACACUCAAACUAAUCUAGUGAUCAAUUACACCUCUAACCUAGUCGAAAGUGAUAUUAGUACCAUCUUAGAAUGUGACGUGGCAAAGAAAGCACCUUCAUCUUCCUAAGUGCGUGAAAAGAAGAAGAACACUUUUAAAAUGACAAUUGCACACAUUACACAACUUUAUUGGUCAUUAUAUAAUUAAAUAUUUUUUCUUCUCAUUAGUAUAAAAUAAUUUCUUAUACAUUGAUUUUGCUAAUUCUUUUUCUUCUUUAUCUUUUUAUUUGUGGGCCCCACUUUCCUUAAGACUUUUUUAUUUGCUUUAAUUUUUAUUCUAGUUCAGUAGAUCAUUAUCUCUAUAGGAGCAUUUUUAAUUCUUUACAUCCAUAUAUAAAGAUGAAUAAUAAGAAAGAGGUAAAAAGAAUGAUCAAGAUCACCACUUUCAUAAAAAAGAUCAUGAUUUAUUGUAUAAAGUUUGAAUUUUUUUAUUUAAAUUCAUCAGUCAACCCACGGAAAAGGCCAUCGAAAAAAAUCAUUGCAAAAUAUAAUAGGUCCUCAUUAAAAAUCGAGUGAUGUUUAUGCAUAAAAUUCAUAAUUUUUUGCUUAAACUUUUUGAAAAUUCAUCAAAAAUUAAUAAGUUUUUGUUUAUCUACUCUAUUUCCACUAGAGUAUUACAUACGCUCACCAAAGUGACAUUUCAUCCCAAACAAUCUUAUACAUUAGAUACAAAGAAUACCAAUAAAAUUUCAGAUAUUCAUCCUUAAGUAUCAAUUGUUUUUAUAGAAUAUUAGAAAUUUUGUAAAUCUGAAAAUUUUUAUUAGCUUUACCGACAACAAUGGUGUUGCCACUGCCUAUUGAUGCUCCACCAUCAAUAGCUUAUAUACUCCAUAAUUCUUUUAUUAUUCCUUACUUAUCUAUUCAGAUAUCUCUAUUUUCCUUUAAUUUAUUAAUGAUGGAGAAGAAAGAAGAAAGAAUUGAAAAAAAGAAAAUAUGGUGAAGGAGGAAGAACAUGUGAAGAAGAGAAGUGUUUUGACAAAAAUAAUAUUUUUACAAAAACACUUUUAAACAUAAAAAUGAUAUUUUACACGUAACAUUACCAGAGGGAGAGUGUCCUCCAUUAGCCUCAUUAAAUUUGAACAUGAGUAUUACGGGGGGAAAAUUUUUUUUGAUAUGCUACAAUUGUGUAAUAGGUUAAUACAAUUAUAAUGAUCCUUCAGAUUAUUUUCUAUAGCCGCCCCAUGUCAUUUAUAACUUCCUAGAACUGAUAGUUCGGUUACCGAGUAGUUUAUUUAUUUUUUAGAGCCAAUUUUUUAUUUUGAAGUCUUUGUUGAUUCAAAUUACCUACCAAGUAAAAACUUCAAUUAAACGAUCUCGUAUUCUAAUUUUGACUAUUCCAAUAGCUCCAGAAUAUUGAUUUUAGCUAGGUGGACCCUUGAAUCAGGUCUCGAGGCACCCAAAAUUAUUUUGAGCUAUUGGUUGAAAGUUAAGAGAAAUAGCAAGUGAGUGUGAGACCCACUUUUUAAUGAAACAACCUUCGAUGGAAAUUUUGACUGCGCCAUUGAGUCCGGAGCAUCAAAAUUAAUAAUGUAGCAUAGUCUAUCUAUGUAUACGGGAUUUUGAAUGUAUCCCGAGGAGUUGGCGGAGACUUGAAAGUUUACCAAGUCUUAGCUGGUGCUGGUGCAUCGCGUCUGCGAUAGCUUUGAUUGCUUAAGCGAUCUGCCAACCAGCAGCAAGUACCGCGUAUGCAACACUUUUAUCUCGUAAAUCUUGGAAGCAUAGCCGGUAUCGUGUAAGGGACAGCUGCUCGGAUAGCCAGGUAUCGCAUAAGCGACCCAAAGUUUGUUUAUGCAAUACCUGUGUAUCUGGAAAGGGUAUAAAUAUCCCAUGUCGCCUAUUUUUCACCAUUUCUAAUCCAUUUCCAAGAUAUUUAUACCCUAAAAAUGGGAAAGAUUGGGGAUAGCAUUUGUGGGUAAUUUGAGGCUUGGAUAAAGAUUAUUUACUCAUUCCUCCAUCAAUUUUGUGGUGAUUUCCAUUAAUUUCUUGUUAGAAUUCUCUUUUUUUUUUUCCCUAAACUCCCUAGAAGUUUGGUGUCUUGAUUUUAGCACCAUUAUAACUUGGAAUUCACUUAUUUUUUAGAAGAAAUAUUCAUUGAGCAUAGAGGGUUGUUGAGUUAGUUUAAGAAAAACGAUUUUCAUAAAUGGGGCCCUAUAUGGAGUUUUUUUACGUAAUUUUGGAACAAUAGUACAAUAUGGGUAUCAUUAUUCUCGUUUUGAUGAGUAGAUUGUGAUUUUGAUCACGCGGUACCUUGUGGAAGCUUCUCAAAAUGAGAAAUCAGUAAUUUAGCAAAUUCUUUGGGUUUUCUUUGAUACUCAUGAUAUGAGAAACACCACGGAAGGCACAAAAACUACACAAAAUAGUCCAUAAAUUGAGAGCAAUCCGAGGACCCCUUUGAGUGCUAGUUUCAGCCAACAACAACAACACAAGUAUCAUGAGUUUACAAGGUGUUUUAACACCAAAACAUCAACAAUACAACCAGAACAAGAUGAACACACGAUUCGGAUUCAACAAGAACAAAUGAUUACAAGAUGCAAAUACUAACACAAUUGCAAGAAAGGUAAAGAUAAAUAGAGAGACAUAGAUUAUUACAAAUAUUAGGAACUAAAGAGUAUAUUAAACUCAAAAACCCCUAAUGAAUGUAACAACAACACAACACUCUAGCAGUGACCGCCAAGGGAAUCAACUCACCUCAAGAUUCACCGUUUCCAAGCAAAGAACAAUAUUGGCUUUUCCAAGCUCUAAACUACAAUGUCUAAUCCAAGCCCUAACUAAGAACUACACUAAGGUGGUAUACUCUCAAGAGAGAGGAUUUUCAAUAUCUCAUAUUUUCAUCAUUAAGCAACUAAAGGGAGAAGACCUAAAAGAUACUAUAUAUAUUCUUAUUACAUAAUGAAAGACAAAAUGACUCCAAUGCCCUUAAUGGGGAGGGAUGGCCAUGGAGUGUCAUUUGGACAAGGCUAAGUGACCGAAAUGCCCUUAAUACUAAGUGACCAAAAUUCCCUUAAGGCUAAGUGACCAAAACACCCUUAAUAAAGGAAACAAAAACCAUGAACCAACAAGUGGGGUCCAAACCCGAGAGUCCUUAAGUCUUUAAGGCUCCAAGAAAUCUUCCACACUCGUGUUUGCUUAGUGGCAUGCUCAAAAUAACCCCUCCAAGUAUGAUCCCGUGCCCUUCAUGCUACCAUAGAUUGACUCUUCACGUAGUGACUUUGAAUGAUGGCAUCGAAAGCUAAGGCGGCCAUUGACUUGUAUCAUCCUUCCCUUCUUGGAAUGGUUUCGACCUCUAAUUCGUACCUUGUAAAACUAGAGAAAGGACAAUCAAGCACGAAAUCCUCAUGGAAUGAGGGUUAGGGUUAGCACAAUAAUGAACAUCAUCACACCAAAGCGGCACAUACUUGAAGUAUAACCAAGGAUCCUUUGAAGGGAAUAUUAAAAACUCAAUGAAAGAUGUACAAAGGAUUUGGUUGUGAGAUUCACCAAGAGUGACUGUUUGUCAUGGGGACCAAGCGACAAGUUGGGUGCACCAACAUCACCAUUUUCAUAUUUGGCAUCGGGAUCAAAUGGGAAGAGUGGACAUAGACAUGGGUUUAGACAACACUCCCCUUUCCCAAGAUCUCUACCCAAACUAAAUGACAUACUCUCUACAAUAGCAUACAUAUUAUAAAAAACAAAUAGAGAAAAGAGAGAAGUAUUAUUCAAGUAAACUUCUACUAAGGUACCCUCAUGUGUGUACUUACUACUAGUUUCCCAAUCAUCACCAUGAGUACUCUCAACAAUAAAGUCACACAAAUUAGAAGAAAGAGUAACUUCCAAGACUAUACAUUCCUUACCCUUAAGAGUACUCUCAUCUUCAAAGAAGAGAUUUCCAUCUUUAGGAGGAAUGUUGUCACACCAUAGUGGGUUAACAUAUAGGGUAUAGCCUCUAAGGUAACUAUACCAUCUUUUUCACUACUAGGCUCAUUAGGAAUGUUUAUAUCAUCUUCAAAUAAGACAUUAUACCUAAAAAGUGCAUGAUCCAACCAACGGAAAGAUUUGGAACAAGCAAGUUUCUCACUCUCUAAGAGAUCAAUAUCAAGUUUCAAAGCAGUUUCAAGCAUAAGAUUGUCCCAAGGAUAGCUCUGGAGUUCACUCCCCUUUUGUUGACCAAAUUUUUCAAAAACUUCACUCACUUGAGUUCAAUUAAUCAUAUCACACACAUAUUCAAGUGGUUGAAAAUUUUCAUAAAUAGGUUGAUCAACACCAAUUACACAAGAUGAUGUACUUCUGUUCAACAUAUAGGCUUCAACACUAGGUGAACAUAAAUUGAUCUUACAAAAAGAGUCAAUUUGGUCAUCAAUAGUAUCAACUAGUGUAUCCAUACUCACAACAUGUACAUCAUCCACAAAAGGCAAUGGAUCAUUAGACUCACAAGUAAGUAAGCUACCACUCACACUGAAUGGGCUACUAGCCACACAAUUAUCAUUGAGUUGAAUCUCCUUUACCGUGUUGUGAAGAUCCUCCACAAAUUUAGGAAACAACAUCACUUUGGAAUUGCUCUCAUUCACUUUCCAUAUAGGUACCUACACAAAUGUCCUUAGAAAUAGAAGGACAAAUAAUGUUAGCUCGGUUUGGUGGCAAUCCCUUCACUUCGCUCCACACAACCUCUUCUUUUUUCACUCUCAGGUUAUCACUUUUCACACCCUUACUCCUCUCAAUAUUUUAUCUCUCAUCAUCAUUCAAAUUAGAGUAGGUGAACACUUCUCUUUAUGGCCCGGGCAUAAUGUACGUCACGAGGCAAUUUUUCCAUUGGUCUCUUACAAUAUUAGGCAAAUUUUGUACAUUUGGAACUUUAUGUUGUGCAAACCAAUCAACACUUAAGCAUACAUGACUGUAUGUCAAGAAAAGGAUAUUGUACCAUACCUCCUCAUGAUAUUUAAAUUGGGAGAAGACAAGUUUAACCUUCUCAAUAACCUUAAACCCAUCCAAAAAUUAUGGUACAAGUAAAGGCUCGCAAAACAACCCCAAGUAAUCAAUAAUGGAUAGAAGGAUGUAGUUUCUAUAGUACCUAUCAUUUAACACAAUGAGGUAGCCUGAUAUCCCACAAAUGGUCACCUUUCCAAAAUGUACACUCCUUCUUGGAUCAACAUUGUAAGGCACAUGAGUACCCCUCGAUUUUGGAGAUGCGUACGCUCUUCUUCUCGUUGGACAACCUUCGCUAGAGCUAGUAUAACCAUUCAUACUAUAUCAACCUUGAUAAGAAGUACUACAAUGUGGAGAAUAUGAAUCUUUACUCUCCUUAAGUGCACUCUCAUCAUAGCUCUCAUAAGAUUUACGAACGAAAGGGUUAUACCUAACACUAAAUCUUGGUUUGGUGUGAGAAGUGUAAGACUCCGCACAUGCCCCAACGUCAUCAUAAGAUCCAUCACAAGGCCCUACAUCAUCUCCAAAUUCACCAUAACCAAUAGGAACUUCAUUCACCUCAUUUUCUCCCUCAAAACCGUAACUCUCAAAUCUGCCCAAGUUCUGAUCAUGGCUAUUUUCAUAGCUUCCGCAAUCUCCCUCAACUUCAUAGCCAUAAAACCCCUCAUUACAAUCAUAGUCUCCCAUGUUGUAGUCACAAUAAUCCCUGGCUAUCAAAGACAUGUUCCCCUUAUAUCACCUUUGUACCUACAAAAUGAAUAAACAAGAUUAGUAGUAAAGAUUCCUUACCAACACUUGUAUACACUCACUUUUGUGAUCCUCACAACUGGAAUGGCAAAUAUUGAAACUUGCUUAUGCUCCGGUAGUCAAUAGGAUGUCAAUUCUACUUGGUGGCUGGAAUAGAUUCUUGUUUGAUCAACUCAAGAAAUAAAACAAAAACUACUUACGAACUUGAACCAAGAAAUACUACGAUAAAAAAUAAUAAAAGCACAAAAUAACGCUAACACAAAGAAACACAUUCAAAAACUAAUUUACAAUUUAGUAGGGAUUUACUAGUUGACAAUUAGUAUAAGAAUCAACAAACUAAAACUAAGAAUCAACAAAAAGAAACUAAGAAUCCAAGAUUUUGAUCCAAAAGUUUUGAUUGUACUGAAUUUGGAGAUGUGGCGGUCUAGGAUUGGUUGCGGUGUUUGAAAGGUUCUUAUUUUUUCCAUCUUUGAAAUUUUAGUUUGAAUUUCAGUUCUUGAAGUGGUUUACCCACCCUUGGAUAAGAAAACAACAAGAUUGGAGACCUUUUCACCUUUCAAAAAGGUUUGAAUUGUCUUACACCUUUUAGUCAAGACACCUUUUUGAGGGGUCGGUUGACUUUUCCUCUUUUCGACACCUAGGAAAGUGGUCUUUCUUUCUUUUGGCAACUAGUCUUUUUGGUACAUCUUUUGUAUCCCUUCCCUUUUGGUAGAUUUUUGGGGACUAGUUUCAAGAAAAACACAAGGGCUUCUCUUCCCACUACUUAGGUUUGGAUCAAACAACACUAUUAAAGAGUCUUCUUGCAACUAUACAUAAAUAUUGGUCUAGAACAACAAAAACGUUCAAUAGAAGUUUGAAUACCAAGUCUCACAUUGAGAUCCAAGAAACAAAAACACCUUUUACAAACAUAAAACCCACAACAAAAUAUCAGCAACACGAGUUCAAACCACACCUUCAAAUUUUAGUCCACAACAACAAUACCAAAAUGCACCAAUAAUGUUCAAGUGUGGAACCACAACAACAAUACCAACAAGAAUUGUUCAAGCUCAACUUGGAUCUUGACUCAAUGGUGUUAGUGAAUAAAGAAUCUAACACAAGAAACAACAAAAUAAGUAAAAAUACACCUAGAUAUAGAUUCAAACUCGGCCAAGACUACUACAACAACAUAAUUUUGGCCAAGACACAAAAAUGGACAGAUUUGCGUCUUUUUGAUUUUCAGAUUUCUAACACCUUUUUUUAUUUUUAAGUUUACGAUCCCAAGAUUGAUCUUGUGGGAACAAUAUCAAGCCAUGAUUUGAUACCAAAUGAUAUGAAAAACACCACGGAAGGCGCAAAAACUACACAAAAUAGUCUACAAAUUGAGAGCAACCUGAGGACCCCUUUGAGUGCUAGUUUCGGCCAACAACAAUAACACAAACAUCACGAGUUUACAAGGUGUUUUAAAACCAAAACAGCAACAAUGCAACAAGACCAAGGUGAACACAAGAUUCAGAUUCAAUAAGAACAAACGAUUACAAGAUACAAACACUAACACAAUUGUAAGAUAGGUAAAGAUAGAUAGUGAGACAUAGAUUAUUAUAAAGAUUAGGAACUAAAGAGUAUAUUAAACUCAAAAAACCCUAAUAAAUAUAAAAACAACAGCACACUCUUAUAGUGACCACCAAGGGAAUCAACUCACCUCAAGAUCCACUGUUUUCAAGCAAAGAACAAUAUUGGCUUUUCCAAGCCCUAAACUAUAAUGGCUAAUCCAAGACCUAACUAAGAACUACACUAAGGUGGUAUACUCUUAAGAGAGAGUAUUUUCAAUGUCUCAUAUUUUCAUCAUUAAAAAACUAAAGAGAGAAGAUCUAAAAGAUACUAUAUAUAGUCUUAUUACAUAAUGGAAGGCAAAAUGACUCCAAUGCCCUUAAUGGGGAGGGGUGGCCAUAGAGUGUUACUUGGACAAGGAUAAGUAACCAAAAUUCACUUAAGGAUAAUUGAUCAAAAUGCCCUUAAUAAAGGAAACCAAAACCGUGAACCAACAAGUGGGGUCCAAACUCGAGAGUCUUCAAGUCUUCAAGGCUCCAAGCAAUCUUCUACACUCAUUUUUGUUUAGUGGCAUGCUCAAAACAACCCCUCCAAGUAUGAUCUCAUUCACUUCAUGCGACCAAAGCUUUAUUCUUCACGUAGUGACUUUGAAUGAUGGAAUAGAAAGCUAAGGCGACCAUUUGACUUUUAUUAACUCAGGUAGGCUAGAUUUACCUUCUUCAUAGAUUGAGCUAUUUUGUAGAAUGCUUAUGAUGUUAUACUAGAUAAGGGGUGAUAUUAAUGUUUUAGAGAUAUGAUUGGAUAUAUUUGACUUAGUUGGGCUGUUAGACUAUCUUAAAAUCAUAGACUUAGAGUAGUUGGCGUAUUUAUUCAUGUCUUAGGUGAAUUCAGAUUCCUGGUAUAUGUUUAGAAUGGAAAUGCCUUGACUACUCAAUCUAGGUUAUGUUGUCGUAUUCAAUCAUUCUUAGGGUGGAAUUGUUCUUAAUUGCUUAAAAUAAGGAAAAUCAUCUUAGUUGGUAUUGUUUUAAGUAGGAUCUCCUUAGUUGCUCAUGUUUAGGUAGGAUUACUAUCCUAGGACUAUUUAUGGAGUACUUGACAUCUAUAAACUUAGAUACCUUUUUUUAGUCUGGGGUAGAAGUUGCCUAACUAUGGGUUUCGAGGAUUAGAAUUGGGCCUCUUUGGCCUACUUUAGGCCAAGACUUAUGUAGCCUUGUGGACUCAUUUACGUAUGAUAUAUUAUUACUAAUGAUAGGUUUGACACUUGAUGAGGUUGAAUAUAAUUAUUGAGUAUGUUAGUGGGAUAUUGAAGGAUUGAUGCUAAUUUUGAGUAUCACUAAUGAUAUUGCUUAUAUGUAUGAUUAAGGAUAUAAUUUAUGAGUAUGAUUUAUGACUUCUAAUGUGAUUAUUGGAAUGGCUUCCGAAUAUGAUUAAUAUCAUGGCCAAUUAAUAUGCUUAAUGAUAUAUAUACCGACGUGAUUAAAAGGUAUAAGUUAUAGAUAUGACAUAACUUAUAUACUUGAUAUUGCUUGUAGGUAUAAUAUGACCUAUAGACAUGAAAAGACUUAUAGAUAUAAUAUGACUUAUAUACAUGAUAUAGCUUAUAGGCAUGAUAUGCCUUAUGGAUGUAAUAUGGCUUCUAAGCAUGAUUCAACUCAUAGACAUAUUAUGGCUUAUAAGGUGUGGCUUACAGAUAUGGUCAUGGUUUAUAUAUGCAAUUAUUGAAAUCACUUAUGGAUUUUACUAUUGGAAUAAACAAAUUGAAAUAGGUAUUGGCAUAGUCAAUAGGGUUAGCUUAUCCUUAUGGAUUGGCGACAUAGUUUAUUGAUACGAAUUAUGAAUAUGAGUUCCAAUUUGAGUUCAUCAAUUGGCAAUAAUCUUGAAAAUAUAGGUUCCUAUUUGAGUCUGGCAGAUGAUUAUAAUGAUGACGAAACUAAUAAGUUUUGGUUCAAGUCCAGCAUCGAGAAUUAUGUUUGAGAUGGUAAAUUUCAAAUGGAUGUUUGUUUAUGUCAUGAUGCUUGGUUAUUUGCGACUAUUUGGUUAUUUGUUUCCUUGUUCAUAUCCUUUAAGCUUAUGGAGGCUAUGUUGGGUUAUUUACUUUUUUGUGCUUAUUGUCUUAUGGGGGCCAAUCUUUAGUUCUAAUGGUAUGAUAUUUAUGUUAUUAUCUCAUAUGUGUUUAUUUAUCUAUGUAUAGUGGUAUUAAAGCUUAUUUCUAGGUUUGCCCCUUUUAUCUAACCUAGCUUAAUUUAUCUUGUAUCUUAUCAUAUUUAGAUCAUGAUUUAUCUUAGUAGGCUGAUGAUACUUACUGAGUACCCAUGGUUUUAGUACUCAUACUACACUUCUGUACUGUUUUGGUGUAGAUUUAAGUAUGAGUUUCCACCAUUAAUUUGACGAUCCUACAAAGUUGAUUUAAAAGAUUGGGUGAGCUCUUGGAGUCGGAGUUACCCUUUUUAUUUCUAUUUAUCUAUGUCUAGUCUUUUAUCAUUGAGAUAGAUUGUUUUUGAAUAUUCAUUACUCGUAGUCUUUUAUAGUAGAUCUUAUACCAACAUUAUUGAGUCUUGGGAUGCUUGUUGAUUUUCUAUUUAUCUACUAGACCCUUAUGACUGUAUUAUUGCAAUUUUAAAUCUUCAAUUGUAAAUUUUUUACUUUUAGGUCAUUUUACACCAAUUUAGCUCAUUACAUCUAGCUUUGGUCUAUGGUUCAACUUACCUACUAGUGGGCAUAAUAGGUGGUAUCAUGACUCAUAAAUUUAGUCAUGAAAAAUUAGUAUCAGAUCUAGGUUUCACUGGUAUUAUUGGUAAAUGUCUAGUGGAGUCACACAAAUCAGAACGACAACAUACAUUUGUUAUCUUUGGAAGGAUAUAAGACAUUUUAGGAGUUUUUCACUUCUUUAACUCAUUUCAUAGUAAGAGUCUGUAUUGGUUUCUAAAGCAUUCAUGUGGUUUCACUCUUUCAGGAUAGAUGAUCUCCUUGACCAGCUUUAGGGUGCUAAGUGUUUUUCUAAGAUUGAUCUUUGAUUGGGUUAUCAUCAGUUCAAGAUUAGGGAGGUGGAUAUCCCUAAGAAUGCUUUUCAUACCUGGUAUGGUAAUUAUGAGUUUUUGGUGAUAUCAUUCAGGUUGAAUAAUGCUCUGGAUGCAUUUAUGGACUUAAUGAAUUGGGUAUUUAAAUAGUUCUUGGAUUUAGUUAUGAUUGUGUUCAUUGAUGACAUCUUGGUUUAUUCCAAGAAUGAGGAGGAUUAUGCCAAUCACCUCUGAGUAGUGUUAUAGACUCUUAAGGAUCAGGGAUUGUAUGCUAAGUUUUUGAAGUGUGCAUUCUGGUUGAAUUUUUUGACCUUUCUUAGUCAUGUUAUUUCUAGUAAAGGGAUCACGGUGGAUCCACAAAAGGUUAAGGUGGUUAAUAAAUGGCCUAGACAUAUGACUCCAACUGAUAUUCAGAGAUUCUUGGGUUUAGCCAAGUAUUAUAGGAGGUUUGUUGAUAGUUUUACUUUGAUUAUUGCCCCAUUGACGAAGUUCACUUAAAAUAAAGUGAAGUUACUAUGGUCUGAUGCUUGUGAAGAUAGCUUUGAGAAGUUAAAGGAUAAGUUCAUUUCAGCUUUAGUUUUGACCCUACCGAGGGUACUGAUGGUUUCAUUAUUUAUUGUGAUACUUCCCAUGUAGGACUAGGUUAUGUUCUGAUGCAGCACGACAGGGUGAUGGCGUAUUAUUCUAGACAACUUAAGGUGCAUAAGAAAAACUACCAACUCAUGAUUUAGAGUUAUUAGUUGUAGUCUUUGUAUUAAAGAUUUGGCGCCAUUACUUGUAUGAAGUUCAUGUUGAUAUAUAUUCAGACCAUAAGAGCUUGUAGUAUGUGUUCACCUAGAAGAAGUUGAAUCUCAAGAAAAGAAGAUGGCUUAAGUUACUCAAGGAUUAUGACAUAAGGUUCCAUUAUCACCCAGGUAAAGCUAAAGUAGUUGCUGAUGCUCUAAGCAGGUUGUCUAUGGUAGCUUGUCACAUAUAGAGAAGUAAAAGUGAGGGUUGAUGGAGUAUAUUCACCAUUUGGAUAAUCUUGGAGUUUGAUUUUUAGACUCUGCGAUUGAGGUAUGAUUAUGCAAGAGGUGGUGAAGUUAUCUCUUAGUGCUGAGAUGAAGAAGAAGAAGUAGGUUUUGGAUCCUAUCUUGAUGCAAAUCAAGGAUGAUGUGGGUCACUAGAAGGUGAUAUUUUUUUAGAUUGAUGGUGAUGGUAUCUUGAGGUACCAAGGUAGAUUAUACGCUCCUAAUAUUGAAUGACUGAGGGAAAGAAUCUGGGAUGAGGCUCAUGAGUUAAGGUACAAUGUCCAUCCUGGUUCAAUGAAGAUGUACCAUAAUUUGAAAGAGAUAUAUUAGUGGAAUAAAAUGAAGAGGGAUUUGGCAAAUUUUGCGGGUAAGUGUAUGGUUUGCCAACAAAUGAAGGUGAAGCACUUGAGGCCUGGUGGGUUGUCUCAAGAGGUUGAGUUGUCUAUAUGGAUGAGGGAAGUCCUUAAUAUCGAUUACAUUACUGGCCUUCUACGGUCUCGUAGUUAGUUUUAUUUGAUAUGAUUUGGAUCAUCAUUGAUAGGAUGACUAAGUCUUCUCACUAUUGCCAGUGAGGACUAAUUAUUCUGCGAAGAAUUGUGCUAAGAUUUUCAUUCAGGAGAUUGUCAAGUUGCAGGAUGUGCCUAUUUCUAAGGUGAGGACUAAGGUGAAGCUUAGAACUUCUUAUCACCCUCAAAUGGGUGGAAAAGUGAAGAGGGCUAUUCUGACUUUAGAAGAUAUGCUAAUGGCCUCUGUGAUUAAUUUUUGUGGUAGUUGGAUUGAUUAUUUGCCUCUCAUAGAGUUUGCGUAUAAUAACAACUAUCAUUCUAGUGUUCAAAUGGACCCAUUUGAGGAUUUGUAUGGUUUGAGAUGUCAUUCUCCUAUUGGGUGGUUCAAAGUUGGUGAGACUAGAUUAUUUGGUCCUAAUUUGGUUUACCAAGCUAUGGAGAAGGUGAAGGUGAUUCGGGAUAGUCUUAAGACCACCCAAAGGUGCCAAAAGUCCUAUACAAAUAUAAGGCAUAUGGGAUUGGAGUUUGAUAUUGGUGAUUAGGUGUUCUUGAAGGUAUCUUCCAUAAAAGUAGUGAUGAGGUUUGGAAAAAAGGGGAAGCUCAGGCCCCAUUAUGUUUGCUCGUACUUGAUAUUGAGGAAAGUGGGCAAUGUGGCUUAUGAGUUGGAGUUUCCUUCAAGUUUGGGUUCUAUCCAUCUGUUAUUUCAUGUCUCGAUGUUGAAGAAGUGUGUGGGUGAUCCUUCCUUGAUUAUUCUCUUUAAGAGUGUAGGUGUUUCGAAUUCCUUAUCUUAUGAGAAAGUCCUGGUAAAAAUUAUGGAUAGCAAGUUCAUCAUUUGAGGACUAAGGAUGUGUCUUUGAUAAAGGUUCUAUGGAGGAAUCAUAAGGUUGAAGAAGCUACUUGGGAAGAUGAAGAGGACAUGAGGUCCAAAUAAUCAUUCUUGUUUCCUGCUUUGGAUAAUUGUGCAUAAGAUAUCUGUAUCCCUAAACAUUUUUGUUUUUUUGUCUUUGGUAAAGGUAAUUGUGGUUGCGUUUCUGUAUUAAAUCAUGUUGAUAGAUUUUUUUUCUCAUCAUUCGGGGAUGAAUGAUCCUUGGGGUGGGAAAUGUAACACCCUAGAAAUUUGGGCCCUUGAAAAUUUCUGAGUUGAGCUUACUGCCCAACCUACAACUUACCUUAUGAGUCAUAAGGUGUCACUACAGUUCAUAGGGCCCCAAUCGUAAGGAGACCAGCAAAGUUACCCAAGAUGUAUAUUCUGAUUACGUCAAGACUCUAUACGAGUAGUAUAGUGUGAGUCGUUAGGUCACUAGUGAAUGGCUCCCUAAGUUACUUUCUAGACUAUGAUUGGAUCUAAUGAUUUGUAAGGUUUGAAUAUGAGUCGUAGGGUACGACUAAUAGUCAGACCAAUGUGGGUACCCUAUGUUUCUAGUUACACUAUGAGUCGUAAGGAGUCAUUAUUAGUUGUAAGGUAACCCAUGACGACUGGCGUCAGUUUUCAACUUUUAUUUAAAGGGAACUUUGAAUAUUUCCCUCUUUCCCCAAUCAGGACCCACAACCUAAAAUACCCUAAGGUACCUCAUAACUUCUCAUUACUCAACAAUUUCUCUCUUUUUUCUCAAAUUCCACAUUGAAAUACAAAGCUGGGGUUUUAAGAGUUUGAUCUUUAAGGGCUCAAGGGUGGUUUCUUCUCUAAAUUUCUUGGUGAUUAAGACAUGUAUCGCUCUCCCCAAAAUUGUGUUUUAAAUUAUGAAAUAAAUUGAUUUUGUAUAUACAUGAUUUUGAUGUGGGUUUUGAAAGAUGGGUUGAGGGUUUGGGAUAAUGAUUGUUCAAAAGCUUUUCCCAUGGUUUUUACGAAUUGAGUAUGCUUUAAAUUGAUGACUUGUGAACUCGUAAGAGUGCAUGGGCAUUUUAAGGGAUGGGGGUCAUGGUUUUCCCCAAGUGAUUGAAUUUGAUAUUGAAAUUGAUGAGUACCUUAACCCAUUUGCAUGAUUAUUUUUGGAAUGUGGAAAAUCAUUUGGCUUUGCCUACUAUUUUGAACUAAUGUCUUGCAUAAGUGGCUGAAUUGGCUUGUCAAAGGUCUUGGUGACUAUGAAAUUGUUUUUAAUCGAAAUUUUAGAGCCCAAUUGGCCAAUGGGUUAGAGUCCCACUAAGCUAUAUGAUUUGGUUCAUAUUUGGGACUUCAGAUUCCUAUUGGCUGAGGAGGGUUAGAGUCUCACUUGGCUAAGGGGUUUGGUUCCUACUUGGAACUUUGGAAUCCCUUUAGUUAUUGGGUUAGAGUCCCAUUGGCAAAUGGUUGGAUUUUGUAAAUUGACAUAUGAUUGCAAGAUAUAGUCGGUAUGACGAUACCAGUUGAUAUUAUAGUAAUAAAUAACUCAUUGAUUAAAUGAAUGGGUUAUGUGCUAGAUGUUUUAGUUGGGCUUAAGGGGGUUGUGUAGUUCAUCGUGAAAGUGGAGGUCUCGAGAGGACUAAUACUGAAAACCACAUUUGUCGAUGUGGGGGUCUAAAUAGUCGGGUGUUUGAGUCACUCAUGGUUUUGAUCGGGUGUUCAUGUCACCCUUAAUGUAUGAUUGGGAGGUCCGAGUUCUCUGUGCAUGUAUGUUAUGAUUAUUUUCUGGUUCAUGUGGCUACACAUACUGGGGACCAAUCAGGAGGUGAUACCUAGGUCCCAUAUAGCUCAUGGAUACUAUUAUGAUGGUUACGCUACAUAGGAUAAUGUUUUAAAGUACAUGAUAAGCCUUGUUCCUUAUACCAACAUGUUAUAUAUAUGUAUAUGCAUAUGACUGUGUGCAUUGGUAUUGAAUGAUUUUGAACUGUCGAUCAUGGUACUAUUUUUUCCAUUAUCCCUGAGUUACAUGCUAGCGCUCAACACGCUAAUUAUCUCUUAACGUUGUAUGCCUACGCGAUACAUGGAAGAGAGACACUUCUAUUUUCCCUUUGCAGUGAUAGGAUUUUCAGUUUGUCAGUAGUCAGCUUUGAAGUGAUGAGCUUCUAUUUUCUGGAAGAGUUAUCAUUUUGAAGUGUAGUUUCACUUAUGUCUUAGACUAUUUCUAUUGGAUUCUUUUGUCUAUCAUUGGGGGUAUGUUCCGACUUAGAUUGGUCCUGGUCUAUUUAGAGGCUUUGCGGAUAAUUGUGGAUUGGGAGUUAGUAUUAUGGAUCUCUUAGCAUAUUCUUAUUGUUACAUACGUUAUCCUGUUAUAUGUUUGUAAUUCUCCCGCUGCUAGCUGCAUUGUAUUUUAUGGGACUAGGCAAAUGGGGUGGUCUCUAGUCUAUGGUGGACUUGAGAUACCCGUCACAGCCAGGCGCUAGUUUGGGUCAUGACAUCACCACUUCCCAUUUCCAAGUUGGGAUAUUGAACUCCUGAAGUGUACCACUAGGUCUUUGAUUCUCAACCUUAACCUACUGACCAUUUAAACACUUAGCCUUGAAUGCCGCAAUAUCCUUCUUCAUACCAUUCCACCAAUAAACUUUCCACAAAUAGCGAUACAUCUUAGUAGCUCCUGGGUGAAUAUAAUAUCGCAAACCAUGAGCCUUUUCUAACAUCUACUACCUCAAAUCAUCCACGUUCGUAACACAUAACCUGCCCUGAUAACAAAGUACACCAUCUCCCCUUUGGGAGAAAACUUCAACCUUCUUAUCUCGAACUGCCUCUUUUAACUUAACCAGAAUAGGAUCUUUGUCUUGAUUUUCCUUUACCUCUGAUACUAAAGAAGAUUCUGAACAAUUUUGAACCCAUACACUACUUUUGGUUGAAUCAACGAACAAAACACCCAAUCUAGCAAGAUAAUGAACCUAAUGAACUAACUCCUUCUUACCAUUCUCUAUGUGAGAAACACUCUCCAUAGACAAUCUACUAAGGGCAUCAGCCAUAAUAUUGGCCUUACUUGGGUGGUACAGUACACUCAUAUCAUAGUCUUUUAACAAUUCAAGCCACCUUAUAUGACAAAGAUUUAGGUCUUUCUGAGUGAACACAUACUGUAAAUUCUUAUAAUCAGUAAACACAUUGACAUGGACCUUAUAAAGAUAGCGUCUCCAAAUCCUUAAGGCAAAGACCAUAGUUGCUAACUCAAGACAUAAGUCGGGUAGUUCUUCUCAUAAGGUUUGAAUUGUCUAGAGGCAUAUUCUAGAACCUUGCCUCGCUGCAUCAUCACACAACCAAGACCAAGUCUAGAAGCAUCACAGUACACUACAAAACCAUGUGAGCCCUCUGGUAGAGUCAAUAUUGAAGCGAAAGUGAGUCAAGUCUUCAACUCCUGAAAACUAUUCUCGUGGGAAUCUGACCACUGAAAUUUGACUUUCUUUUGAGUCAAUCUGGACAUAGGAGAAGCAAUAAAGGAAAGUACCUCAACAAACAGUCUAUAGUAACUGGUUAAACCCAAGAAACUCUUAAUAUUUGAUGGAGAGAUGGGUCUAGGAUAAUUUUGUACUGCCUUGGUCUUUUGAGGAUCAACUUGAAUGUCAUCACCAGAAAUGAUAUGGCUAAGAAAAUCUACUGAUUUCAACCAAAAUUCACAAUUGUUGAACGUAGUAAAUAACUGGUGAUUCUUAAGGGUCUAUAAACGAUCCUCAAAUGGUCUGGUGUUCACCUUCACUAUAAUAAUAGACGAGGAAGUAAUCUAUGAAGACUAUGACAAAUAUGUCUAGGUACUAUUUGAACACCCUGUUCAUCAAUUCCUUAAAAGCUGCAGGAGCAUUCAUUAGUCCAAAAUACAUAACUAUAAAUUCGAAGUGACCAUAUCUAGCUUUGAAGGUUGUCUUUGGUAUGUCAUAUUCUCUGGCUCUAAGCUGAUGAUAUCCAGAUCUAAGGUCUAUCUUAGAGAAGUAAUGUGCAACCUGAAGCUGGCCAAACAAGUCAUCAAUCCUAGGGAGAGGAUAUUUAUUCUUGAUUGUGACUUUGUUUAGCUGACGGUAGUCGAUGCACAUUCUAAAAGAACUGUCUUUCUUGUGCACGAAGAGAACUAAGGCACCUCAUGGAGAGUCACUAAGUCUAAUAAAGACCUUAUCAACGAGCUCUUUUAACUGUUCUUUGAAUUUCUUAAGCCUUUUAAGAGCGAUUCUGUAAGGUGGAAUUGAAAUAGGAUGGAUGUCUAGGAGGAGAUCUAUUUCGAAGUUGAUUUUCCUCUCGGAGGAAACCCGGGUAGAUCUUCAGGAAAUACUUCUAAACACUCAUUAACUAAUGGAACUAACUCAGGACUCAAAAUUUUUGAACUUGAGUCCUUGACUCGGACAAGGUGAUAAAUGCAACCCUUAGAGAUCAUCUUUCUUGACUUAGUAUAGGAAACGAAUCGACCUAUAGGCACUGAGGUACUACCCCUCUAUUUUAUAACUGGAUUAUUAGGAAAUUGAAAUUGGACUAUGCUAUUUGUACGGUGGAAUGAGGUAUAGUAAGAGCAGAACCAAUCCAUACCAAAAAAUGACAUUAGAAUUGGUUAUUUCUAAUUCUAUGAGAUUGACUGAUGUAAUUUCUGGGACACUGUAACUAGGCAAUUUAUGUUUCAAUCAUUUGGCUAUAAUAGAACUACCAAUGGGAGUAGACAUCGAGAAGGAUUUUGUAAGGAUUUUGAGACUAACACCGAAGUCUAUGGCUAUAUACGGAGUCAUGAAGGAAAUUAUGGAUCAAGGAUCUAAUAAUGCAUACACAUGAAGGUGAAAGGCUUGUAACAUACCAGUAACCACAUUGGGUGAACCUUCCUAAUCCUAAUGAGUCUAAAGGGCAUAAAUUCAAUUUUGAUGUUGUCCUCUAGUAGCACUAGAGGUGUCGCCUUGCUAAAUAGGGCAACCUACUAGAACUGAAGAGAAAUUAGCCUAAUCUGAUUAACAAAAAUCUUUACUCUUCUGGCCUACCACUGAGCAAUCCUUGAUUCUGUGUCCUAGAUUGCCACACCCAAAACACGCAUCACUGUUGGCCAUGCACUCACCCUUGUGGUUCUUACCAUACCUCUUGUAGGCGAGGUUAGUGCGGCCACUAUUUAUGUGGCGCUCUAUUAUGAAUGCCCCGUUGAAACUUAGGCACUGGAUCACUGGCAGAGGAUGGGGAUAAAGAUUUUUGGAUGAACUGAGAGGGAUUCCCGCCAUCUGACCUCUGCUGAGAAAAGUUGAAACUACCAGUUCUUUCCCUCUUAUUCUCUCUUUUCUUUUCUUUGAGAUUUUCCUACUCAAUCAGCUGAGCAUGAACCAUCAGUCUAGAGAGUUCCAUAUCCUUAAUCAACAUAGCUAUUCUAAACUCCUUGACAAUAUCUUUAGAAACUCCAAACACAAACUUACUCAUUCUGGCCCUAAAAUCGGCUACCAUCAUCAGAGCUUUUUGCUAACUGGAUGAACUUGAGUGAAUACUCCUUCAUACUCGUAUUACCCUGCUUCAUAUUAAUGAAAUCCUACACCUUUCCUCUUUUAACUCGAGUGGGAAGAACCUGUCUAAGAAACCAGUACCAAACUCAUCCUACUCUAUAGGCCUUGUCUCAACAUGUCUAUCCUCUUUCCACUGCUUGAACAAAGUAUGACUCUUUGUAAUUGGUAAGCAGCUAAGUCAGUACUCUUACUCGGAGUAACACCCAUAAUAUCAGUCACCUUUUGUACACAAUCCAAAAACUUCUGUGGAUCUUUCUCAGAUUUAGAUUCAGAGAAUAUUGGGGGAUUUAUCCAAGUGAAACCCCUAAUUCUGACUAUUGUCGUGCUCACCAUAGGAUUGGUUGGGGCAAUAGCGUGCUGAUUGUUCUAGGUAGCCCCAGAUUAGGCUAAGGUAGUGAAAUUAGCCCUAAAUUCGGCUUGAGAGACCUGCUCAUUAAGAGGGUUCUUAGGAACGGGUGGUGGCAUGAGCUAGUCCCCAUUUCUUCUACAGUUUUCCAUUUUGGGAGACAUUUUCUAUAAAUAGUAGAAGAUAAGUUAGGAAAAGAAGUUUAACAGAGCUUACACUCUAUUGCACAACAUGAAUAUUGAAAGAAGGGAAACUUUCCUAAAACGUCUUGUAGCCUCUUGCCCAUAAAUGUGGGGCGCUUCACAUCCAUGAAAAAAACCCUAAUUAACAUGACUUUCAGAUGCCCUAGGACACUUCAAAAUCUUGUGCUCUGGUACCAAGUUUUUCAUGACCCGAAAAUACCCCCAGUCACAACAUGGUGCCUAGAGCAUAAGUAACCCCAAGUUAACCCAUGAUCUUGCACAAGCUGUAAAUGCAUGAAAGAAGGUAACAAAGUACUAUGCAGAAGUCGUUUAAAAGCAUUUGAAAAUCAAAACAAUAUCGAUAAAGUCUAAAGUACAUCAACUGCAAAACAUGUCUAACUGACUAACUGUCUAAAAGCCUCUAAACAUGAUGAGUUAUUGGGAUAGGUCCCCAACUAAAUUUGAUCAACUAAAAUAGCAUGAGAUAAAACACUGGGAUGAAUAACUAAUAAUAUAACUAGUCCUCUACUGAUGAGGACAUAUCAAUGCUACAGUUGAGUGGCAUAGAAAUAAACUUCGAGCAAUCUGGGAACUGAGCAUUCGAACCUGUUCUAAGACAACAUAGUGCAAAAGAGAGUAUAUUGUCAGUACUUUAAAUAUACUAUUAUGCGAGACAUAAACUAGCUAAUAUAUAUAGGUACUAAGCAUGAAUGCAGAAACAUAUAAAAUGAAUGCAAUACUAAGCAUAAAUAUGUACUAAAAUGAUCUUAAUAAUUGAUAUAUGGACACAUGGUCAUGCAAACCUAAACUAAUAUAGUAUGAAUACUGAAUUAAACCUGUGGGAGCUAUUAUUUAACCUACAUACCCCAAUCUGAGCUAAUCGGGGUCCAAAUUGUAACCCCAGUUAAAAGAGUGUCAGUACCUUGCCAAAGGUACGAACACGGGUUGUGUGGAUCCACUAAACUGAUGUCCUAAAGGACUAGAGUGUCAACCUUUUAUUGACAGGUGACCCCUAAGAGAGUGACAACCCUCUACUGGUAGGAUGAACUCUCAUAACCUAUGUUGUCUAUGUAGUUUUGGAACUUAGGGCCUGCUACUAAAGAUGUAACCCUCGACUGGUAGGUGAGCCAUCAUCCCUAGAUUUGCCCAGUGCUAAGCUCUACUCCCAACUGAAUUGACAAUGAUACUAAUAAAAGUUUAAUAUGAUUCAAAACUGGUAAAUGCUCAACAUGAUAAUAUUAUGAAUUUAAUGAUAAAAGUAUGGUAUGAAUGACUUGUAACCUGAUGACUGUAACAUGUAUGAAUAUCUGGGUAUCGGGUGUUCAUAACCCACCAGCAUCGAAAAAUACAUUAAGCAUGAUAACAUUAUUGGAAUACUUGUAAGAACUUUCAAGAUUUAGACCCCAAAACAUAAUAUCUUAUUAAACUAAGGGAAUUCAUAAUUCUGAGUAUGAAAAGAUGCUAAAUUUGUGAGAAUAACAUGCACGUAAGGCUCAAUUGCAAAGAUAAACUAUAAUUCCAAGAAAAUUCAUAAUUUCCAAGGAAACCUAAGCAUAAAGAAUAAACUAAACCUGAAAACUUUGGGACUCAAUGGGUGAAAGGGGCCCAUUUAUGAAUAUCCCACAUACCUGGAUAAAGAAGCCUUAGGUGAUUUCUCAAAAUCAAGCAUGAACUUGAAGAACCCUAGUUUCCUUGGAGAGAAGAGAAAAAUCACCCCUUUUUGAUUUCUCUAAGUGAAAUUAUAAUUAAUUAUGUAAUUUGGGAUUUUAGAGAUUUUAUAACACUCUUUUGGAAGCCCAGAUAAUGUGGGUUAGGCUUUUAAAGGAGUGGGAAAAGACUUAAAAGUCCUUAUGAAAACAUGUUGGAAAACCUAUAUUCCAGUCAUUACGAUCACCUCAUAGAUCAUCAUGACUGGUCACCAUAACCUAUAACCCUAUGGUUUGGGUCCUUUAUGGUCUGACUAUGACUUCCCCCCUAAUUACUCGUUAUGACUGACUACGAAUUAUUAGGUAGAGUCGUAGUUUGAGGCUUGAUUCUUGGGUCAUUCACAGGUUGGGCUACAAGUCCACAUAACGACUCAUAAGGUCUAACUAUGAGUCACAUACUAGACUUAUAACCAUUGGGAUGAAUUCUUAGUUACACACUAUUGUGGCUACGAGUCCCUCCUAAUGACUCGUAGCAACUGAUUAUGGGCCAUAUAGUGGAGUCAUAGUUACUGGGCUAAAGCUAAGGGUCAUUUUUGUUCAGACUACGACUAUUCGUAAUGACUCAUAACAUCUCGAUAUGGGACAUCACGUGUUGUAGCCUCUGGAAGUUGACUGGAACUUGGAGAAAACUUGCUUAACUUCUUGCCAUAAUGUCAUGUCAGAUUAAUAUGAGACUUGUUGAAUUAGAAUCCUAACUUAGUGGCCUAUCAUUUUAGGGGUUUAGAUCUUGAAAUUAUGGGGUAUUACAAAUGCCUCAACCUUUAAAGUAUAUUAAAAUCAGCUUAGGAAAUGCCUCGACCACCGUAGUUUAUAAUUAAUUCAACACAUGAUCAAUAAGGCCUUCCAAAAUAAUUUUUAUUCAUUUAACCAUUUAUGCAAUGCAAUAGUUUAGGGGAGUAAUCCAAAUCAUAUGAUUAUUCAUAUUUCAAAGCCAACUAUGCAAGUGAGUUGAGGGCAACACAGUUUCCAAACCAAAAUCAUCAAUUUGGGGGAAUGUCGUGACCCCCAUCCCAUAUUAUCAUACCUAUGCACCCAAUCAGUUAAAAAACUACCAAUAAAGAAAAAAUAAUGCAUAUAAAAUCAUGGGAACACCAUUUAAACAACAAUCUUCGAAAACCCUCAACCCAAGUUCCAAAACCAACAUUUAAAUUACAUGGAUAAUAAUCUAAAACACAUGUUUUUAACAAUACAAGUUUUAGGGAAGAGAUACAUGCCUGAGACACCAAGAAUUUUGAGGAAGAAAUCACCUUUUGAGCCCUAGAUGACCAAUCCCUCAGAAAACCCUAAUUAUUUUCCUUAGGGAUUUGAGAGAUAUAAGCGGUGUAUUUGAUAUGUGUUGGUAUGAUAAUGAGAUUCUGAAGGUGUUUUAUGAUCAUGGGUUAUAACUGGAGAUGAGAGAAAAUAACCAAAGUGCCCCCAAUUAAAACACAGAAAAUUGUCGCCAAUUGUUAAGGGUCACAACAUGACUUAUGAUGACUGGAUACAAGUGGUUUUCUGAACUUGUAUUCUAGGCAAAAUCUUGGACCUCUUCACUGGUUUAGUCAUGAGUCACACCCUACGACUCUUGACCCUACCUUAUAACUCGUAGGGCUCCAAUGUAUUGUAGAUAAAAACUUAGGCAUUCCUCACUGGUUUGCCUACGACUUGAUCCCUAUGACUCAUAAUAACUCUUCAUGAAUCAUAAGGUCCAUGUCUUACUUAGGACAAAAACUUUAGAUAGUUCUCUGGUUUAAUCAUGAGUCCCUUCCCUAUGACUCAUGACCAUACCUUACGACUUGUAAGGUUCCAGUCGUAUCUUGGGUAGUAAGCUCAAAAUUUAGAAAUUUGUAAGAAUAUAGGGUGUUACACUUACCCCCAGAUUUUGCUACUAUCCAUCUAGUUUUCCAUGUUUCUAAGUUACAGCAGUACAUUCCUAAUCUAUCUUAUGUGCAUAAAUAGGAUCAGUUCAGUUGGAUGAGGUUUAACCUUCGUGGGGGAGCGUAUGCUCAUUUUGGCAAGUGAUAUAAGGCGGUAGAGCACUAGAGAAAUUCCAGUAGUUAGGGUUUAGUGGAUGCACCUUCCAGUAGAGGAGGCUACUUGGGAGAUUGAGAGCUAGAUACACACCCAGUAUUAUCACCUAUUCGAGGCUUCAGUACGUCCUAAUCCAUUACUUUCAUGGAUGAAAGUUUUUUUAGUAGUGGAUAUUAUAAUGACCCUUCAGGUCAUUUUAUGUAUUUCCACUUAUUUCUACUAUUUAGAGCUUUCCUAUACCUGCCCAAAGUUAUUUAUGACUUACUGGAACAGACAGUUCGGUUAUCAGGCAGUAGUUUGGUUUUUAGACCCAAUUCCCUAUUUUGAAGCCUUCGUUGGUUCAAUUUGGAUGCCAGGGAAAAACUCCAGUUAAAAAUCAUGUAUGCCAAUUUUGACUGUUUCAACAACUUUGAAAUAUCAAUUUUAGGUUAAGUGGACCCUUGGUCUGGGUCCCGAGGCUCCCAGACUCGUUUCAAGUUAUUGGUUAGAAGUUAAAGAAAUGGCAAGUGGGUGUGGGCCCCAUUUUUUAUUGACACGACCUCAGAUGGAAAUUUUGAUUGCACAACUGAGUGAAAAAUGUCAAACUUGAUAAGGUAACUUAGUUUAUUUGUGCAUAAGAGAUUCUAGAUGAAUCUCGAGAGGCUGGCAAAAACCCGUAUUAAAACUUGAUAUUUAAGCUGGUGCACCUGCUUAAGCGGUCAUUUAGAUCGCUUAAGCGGAGGUUAGAUAAAGCACCCAGUUUACUACUUAAGCAGGAAUUCCAAAACAACUACCUCUUAAAUAGUAGCUGCUAAAACAACAAGGGACACAGGUACCGCUUAAGUGGUCCACUGUUGGCUUAGGCGACACCCACGUUCCUAGGAAGGGUAUAAAUACCCCAUUUAGCCCCUUUUCACCUUUUUUAAUUCAUUCUCUUGAGUCUUAAACUCUAAAAAGUGGAAAACCUUGGGAGAUAAAAUAUAUGGGUGAUUUUGGAGCUUGGAUGAGGAUUAUUGACAUAGUUCUCCUUCAAUUUGUAGUACGAUUCCAUCAUUUUUAUGGUUAAUUUUCCCAUUCUUAUUUAAAAUCCCUAAAACCUUGGAAGCUUGAUUUUAGCACUAUUAUAGCUUAGAAUUUACUCAUUUUUAUGAAUAAAUAUAUAAAUAUUCCUUGAGCAUAGAAGAAAGUUGAGCUGGUUUAAAAAAAUAUGAUUUUCAUAAAUGGACCCCACGUGGGAUUUUUAUGUAAUUUUUGACCCAAAAUACAAUAGUUUAAAAUGGUUAGAAUUGUUCUUAUUUUGAUGAGUAGAUUAUGAUUUUGAUAGAGUGGUACCUUGAAACUAGUGAUUUAGCGGAUUCAUCGGUCUUUUUUCAGUGCCCAGAUAGGCUAGGUUUACCUUCUUCAUAGAUUGAGCUAUCUCGUAGUAUAAUUAUGAUAUUAUGAUAGAUAUGGUAUGAGAUUUAGGUGUGGUAAAUAUGAAUAAGAGUAUUUGAUUUAAUUGGGCCGUUAGGCUAACUGAAAACCAUAGACUUAGAGUUGUUAGUGCAGUUCUUCAUGGAUUGGGUGGAUUGGGUUUCACGGUAUAUAUUUAGAAUGGAAGUGCCUUAAUUAAUCAAGUUAGGUAAAAUUGCCCUAGUUAUUCAUGUUAGAGUAUAAUUUUCCUUAGUUGCUUAAGUUAAGGGAAUUACCUUACUUGUUAAUGUUCUAGGUAGGAUUGUCAUAUUUAUUCAUGGUUGUGAAGGAUUACCAUCUUAAGGUUAUUUAUGUUUUACUUGACAUCUAGAAAUGAACAUAGAUACCUUAUCCUAGUCCAGGAUAGAAGUUGGCUAAAUAAAAAUUUUGGAGAUUUGAAUGGGCCCCUCCAGCCUACUUUAGGCCAAGACUUGUGAUAGCCUUAUAGACUUAUUUACAUAUGAUAUAUUAUUUCUAAUGGUAGGUUGACACUUGAGGAGGUCAAAUAUAAUUAUUGAGAGUGUUAGUGGGAUAUUGAAGGAUUAAUGCUAAUUGUGAGUAUAGCUAAUGAUAUUGCUCAUAUGUAUGAUUAGGGAUAUAAUUUAUGAGUAUAAUUUAUGACUUUUACAUGGGAUUAUAGGUAUGGAUUUUGAAUAUGAUUAAUAACAUGACAUAUUGAUAUGCUUAAUACUAUAGCUAUCGGUAUGAUUGAAGGUUAAUGACUUAUGCAUAUGAGAUAGCUUACAUAUACGAUAUGGGUUAUGUAUGUAUACAAUAUGGCUUAUAAGCAUGAUAUGGCUUAAUGGUAUAUUCUGGCUUAUGUAUAUAUAUAAUAUGGCUUAUGAGCAUGAUAUGACUUAAAUGCAUAUGGUAUAGCUUAUAUAUCUAUAUAAUACGGCCUAUGAAUAUAAUAUGGCUCCAGGUAUGAUGGGUGGCCUAUAGAUAUGACUAUUGGUAUGAAUUCUGAAUAUGCUCAACAGCAUUUCUCAUGAAUAAUAGUAUUGAUAUGGAUCUCGAAUAUGGCUAACAAUAUGGCUUAUCGACGCGAUUAUGGAAGGUACUUGCGGAUAUGAUUCUUAGUUUGGUGUGUAAAUAUGGGUAAAAAGAUGGUAUAGCUAUGAUUUAUUAGUACAAUCUAUUGGUUUUAUCUUAUUGAAGUGGUUCACUAAUAUAGUUCAUUGAUACAGUUUAUAAAUAUGGGUUCUGAUUCAAGUCCAACCGCUGUUGAGGGUAUUAAUAAUAUGAGUUUUGAUUCAAGUUCGGCAAAAUUGAUGAUAAUAAUGAUGAUGCUAUUGAUUCUCGAUUCAAAUUCAAUAUUAAGGGUUGCUUAUAACUUGAUAUGGGAAAAUGAAUUCUUGGUUAUGGCAUGAAAAUGGGUAAAUUAUAUUAUUUGGUUGUUAGUUUCCCAGAUUGUACCCUCCGGGCUUAUAAGGGCCCGCGUUGAGUUAUCCACUUUUUAGAACUAAUUGGCUUAUGGGGGACAAACUCUUAGUUAUAAUAGAAUAAGCUUUAUGUUAUUAUCUCAUAUGCAUUUAUUUAUCUAUGUAUAACGACAUCAGAGUUUAUUUCCAGAUUUGUCUCUUCUAUCUGACUUAACUUAAUUUAUCUUGUAUCUUAUCAUAUUUUAUCAUGAUUUAGCUCAGUUGGCCGAUGAUGUGUACUGAGUACCUGUGGUUUUGGUACUUAUACUACACUUCUGUACUUAUUUGGUGAAGAUUUGAGUACUAGUUGCCACUGCUAGUUUAACGUUCAUGCAAAGUGGAUUUGGGAGAUUGAGUGAGCUCUUGGAGUCAGAGUUACCCUUUUUCCCUAUAUUUAUCUAUGUAUAAUAAUUCAUCUUCGAGAUAAAUUAUAUUUGAUUAUUCAGUACAAUUGUAGUAGCUCUUGUGACGGUAUCACUGAGUUUUGAGAUAUUUGUUGGUUUUCAUAUAUCUAUUUGAUCUUUAUGACUGUAUUAUUACUAUUUGAAUCUUUAAUUGUUAAUUUCUGAAUUUUAGGCCAUUUUCCACCAAUUUACCCCAUUACAUCUAGCUCCGAGCUAUGGUUCGGCAUACCUACUAGCGGGAUAAAGUAGGUCCCAUCAUGACUGGUAAGGUCAUGAUAAAUAUACUUUGUCAGGGGUAUAAAGGCUAACUAGGGUGAUCAUCUAAACAUGUCUAUUUAGAAAAGUUGAAUAAUAUAUAACAUGCCCCUAUGGAUAAGCUACAUGCCCAUUUGGACAAGUUGAAUAAUAACAUACGAUGGUACGUAGUUUAUGGAAUAAGGGUACGCUAAACCUUCGCUCCUCAGUGCUAGGUACUACUACCAAAAUUAUAAUAUUUCUCAUAAUAUAUCUAUGUGAAGUUCACCUUAAAAUAAACAUAUGAGUUGAUAAGUCUAAAAACACAAUAUGCUUCUGUUUUUAUAUCAAAACCUAAUUUCUUAUGUGAACUCAUAUCUUGUCUGAAAGCAUAAAUCAAAACUGAAUCUUUUGUUAUGCUGGAAUACUUUUGUAACUUGAACUAGUAAACUUGAACUUUUUGCAAAAUGAGUACAUAAUGCUCAAAUUGUAAUCUUAUACCAACCCAUAGGAAUUUCAUGUCAAAUACCAAACUCAAUGCAUAAGAUCACUUUCAUGAAUAAAAACAUAAGUAAACAUGAAAUCUUGUGCUAAAUAAGGCUUAAUUAAUGAGGAAACAUCAUAAUAUGAAAGCAUGAGGAAAGUGGGUAACAAUCCUAGUAAAUCAAUUCUUUAUAAUUCGAGUAAAAUUAACUUUUGGGUAAAAGGACAGAAGAAUAUCUUUGUUUAAUCCCCACAUACCUGAACUUGUUUGAUUUUUCUUCAAG
rnacentral:lncRNA from 1 species